rnacentral:tRNA from 1 species
UCCCUGGUGGUUCAGAUGGUAGAGCAUCUGUCUACAAUGCGGGAGACCCGGGUUCAAUCCCUGGAUUGGGAA